CACGUAGGGGACGAGCGUUGUCCGGAUUCAUUGGGCGUAAAGCGCGCGUAGGCGGCUCGGAAAGUCGGUCGUGAAAUGCCGGGGCUCAACCCCCGGGACUGCGUCCGAUACUCUCGAGCUGGAGGCAGGUAGGGGAGAUCGGAAUUCCUGGUGUAGCGGUGAAAUGCGCAGAUAUCAGGAGGAACACCCGUAGCGAAGGCGGCACUCUGGGCCGAUACUGACGCUGAGGUGCGAAAGCGUGGGGAGCAAACAGG
rnacentral:rRNA from 1 species